CCUACGGGAGGCAGCAGUGAGGAAUAUUGGUCAAUGGACGAGAGUCUGAACCAGCCAAGUAGCGUGAAGGAUGACUGCCCUAUGGGUUGUAAACUUCUUUUAUAAAGGAAUAAAACGAGGCACGUGUGCCUUUUUGCAUGUACUUUAUGAAUAAGGAUCGGCUAACUCCGUGCCAGCAGCCGCGGUAAUACGGAGGAUCCGAGCGUUAUCCGGAUUUAUUGGGUUUAAAGGGUGCGUAGAUGGGUUGUUAAGUCAGUGGUGAAAGUUUGGGGCUCAACCGUAAAAUUGCCAUUGAUACUGGCAGUCUUGAGUACAGUUGAGGUAGGCGGAAUGCGUGGUGUAGCGGUGAAAUGCUUAGAUAUCACGAAGAACCCCGAUUGCGAAGGCAGCUUACUAAGCUGUGACUGACGUUGAUGCACGAAAGUGUGGGGAUCAAACAGGAUUAGAUACCCGGGUAGUC
rnacentral:rRNA from 1 species